ACGACCAUCCAGAAUUUCCCUCACUGAAGAAACCAUGUUUUUGUCUAAAAUCAAUUUUGUCUGACAAUGAAAAAGAUAAGACCAGAGCACUGUUGGACUGGCCAUGGGGAGUACCAGCUCCCAAAUCCCCGUCUGCUGGUGGCCUGUCAAGACAUCCAAAAAGUUUUUUAAAGUUUUUAGUGCGACUAGGCCCUGCGGUCAAGUCCAAGCCUGAAGUUCAUCCCCAGUCCAAGUACAUUGGUCUGGCUUUACCGAGAUGGAGAACCCUAGGAGCUGCUAGAGGACUUUAGCUUGACUUGGAACUGGCUUUUCUUCUCUUCAAUGUAAGACCAAGAAGCUCUCCUUGGACCCCGGGAGGACUGGAUGUCUUCUGCCAUUUGUCGCCAGCUUUCCAUCGCUCAAGUGGCUCACAUCUCUUCACUGUGAUCUUCCAUCAGCUUGCUUUGACUGGGUGUAGAAAAACACUGGUCACCAUUUGGGAUGCUGUGUUUGACUGAGGAAGUGCACUGGAUUGCUUGAAAAAU